GAGGGUAUAGUUCAGUGGUAGAGUACGUGCUUAGCAUGCACAAGGUCCUGGGUUCAAUCCACAGUCCCUACA
rnacentral:tRNA from 1 species